GUGAUACUCCCUCCGACCGAGAAAGCUUGUCCCUCAAAUGGAUGUAUCUAGCACCAAGUUAGUGCUAGAUACAUCCAUUUGAGGAAUAAGUUUGGGACAAGCUUUUUCGGACGGAGGGAGUACUAG
rfam:Triticum aestivum genome assembly, contig: Triticum_aestivum_CS42_TGACv1_scaffold_002131_1AL